AUUUGAUGAUGAGGGCAACUUGCACAUAACCUCUUGAGUAUCUCCCAAUAUUCAUAUAAACCUUCUGCAUGUAAUUGUCUGAUUCUAGAAAUAUAUUUUCUGAUUGU
rfam:Lupinus angustifolius cultivar Tanjil contig_4812, whole genome shotgun sequence.